rnacentral:rRNA from 1 species
UACGAAGGGGGCUAGCGUUGCUCGGAAUCACUGGGCGUAAAGGGCGCGUAGGCGGCCAUUCAAGUCAGAGGUGAAAGCCCAAGGCUCAACCUUGGAACUGCCUUUGAUACUGUUUGGCUUGAGACCGGUAGAGGUGAGUGGAACUGCGAGUGUAGAGGUGAAAUUCGUAGAUAUUCGCAAGAACACCAGUGGCGAAGGCGGCUCACUGGUCCGGUACUGACGCUGAGGUGCGAAAGCGUGGGGAGCAAACAGG